rnacentral:rRNA from 1 species
GUAUCGAUGUGUAAUAUAGAAACUAACAUCAAAAAUUAUUUAAAACAAAUAAUAAAGUAUUUCAAAGGGGUUAUUAAGGAUAAUUAGCAAAUUUAUAAAAAAGGAGGCAAUGACCUAAUGCUACAUACAUUAAGUGGCAGUCCUAAGGGAAACCUUUUAUUUAAUACUUCCUGAAGUAAAUCAUUUUAGUAAGGAAAGGAAAGGAAAUCAACCGAGACUCCGAAAGUAAUGGUGAGUGAAAUCGGAUUAGCCUGUGACUUUAAACAAAGUGAAAUCCAAAGAAGGUACCAACCAUAGUCCUGUAACUUUCUUUAAUAGUCACUAAACACAAAUUUUGACAUUCUUAUCUAUAAAAUAAAUGUAAAUAAACAAUUCAAUUUAAUAUUAAUUAAAAUAUAUUCAAAAUUAAUUACUAAAGAUUGAAUUUUCAAUUAUUAAUAAUACGAUGAGAGAUAACUUGUUGGAAUAUAGGGGAACCAUCCUCUAAGGCUAAGUAUUAUAAAUUUAGCGAUAGCGAACAGUACUGUAAAGGAAAAUGUGAAAAAGAAAGAUAAUACAUCAGUGAAAUAGAUAUUGAAUUAGUAACUCUAUAAGCAGCCGGAAUUAAUAAAACAAUGACGGCGUACCUUUUGCAUAAUGGGUCAGCAAGUUAAUAGGAAUAGCAAGGUUAAAAGCCUUAGCGAAAGCGACUGAACUAAUUUAGAAGAAUAAUAUACUUUAUAUAAUUACAAUAAUAAUUUCUUUAUAUAUUUAAUAUAUAUUGAUUUAUUAAAAAUUUAUCUAAUAAUAGGUAUAAAAAAUAAACUACCAAAUAGUAAAAUUAUUUUCAUAAGUGAGUAAAAAUAUAUCUUAUAUUAUAAUUAAUGUUUUAAUACAAAAAUUAAUAUUUAUAUUAAUAAUUAAAAUAGAGUAGCACCUUAUGUAACAUAUAAAUAAUAUUAAUGUAAGUUGUUAUUUGCUAAAUAAUAGUGUUGGGUGAGUUAUUUCUAUUAGACCCGAAGCUAGAUGAUCUUUCCAGGGCCAGAUUUUAAGGAUCGAACGGGUGAAUGUUGCAGAAUUCUCCGAUGAGCUCUGGAAAGCGGUGAAAUGCCAAUCUAAUCUAGUGCUAGCUGGUAUUCUUCGAAACAUAUGUAAGUAUGACAUCUAAUUAAAAUUUAUGGAGGUACAGCACGGAAAUUUCGAACAAGUGAUAAUAAUUUUCUUUUUUUAAUUAAAAAGUUAAAAAGUUAUUGGGCGUUUAGGUUGCGGGGAUCUUGUAAAUCUUACCAAUGGAAUUAAAACUCGGAAGUACAUAAAUUAAUAUUAGAUAUUCAGACUGCUCAUGAUAAGUUGAGUAGUCAAGACGAAAACAGUCGAGAACACGUAUUAAGGUCCCAAAUGAUUAUUAAGUGAAAUUAAGGAGGUCGUAUAUUGUAAGCAGCUGUAAAGUGAGCCUGGUAGUCGCUACUUAUAAUGAACGUUGUAACAACGCAUCAGCUUUAUUCUUUUUUAGAAUAAGAAUGUGGCACCGAAAAUUUAACGGGUCUAAAUAAUCAACCGAUAUCGUGUUGGUUAAUAACAAAAACAAAAAAUAAAAAAUUAUUAAUCUAGGUAGAAGAACAUUCAGGAACGGCAGAUACACAGUGUUUCAUUGUGAUUGACGAACUGAAGAGAGAAUGCUGACAUGAGUAACGUAAAAAGAAGUUUUAAUACUUCUCGCCGAAUACGAAAGGGUUAUAAGUUAGGUUAAACCGACUUAUGUUAAAUGCGGGUCUCUAAGGUACAGAACCAAAGUUCUGACUGAUGAGGUAGUGAUAGUAAUGUCCUAAUGGAAGAUUGGACCAAGAAAAUUUAUCACUUCUGAAGAAUUAUUAAUAAUAUUUUUUUAUUUAAGAAGGUUACAUUUUUUAAUAAAUGGAUUGUAAAUAUUCGAAUUUAAGUUUAAAUGUUAAAACUAUCUUUAGGUGAAAAGAUAUAUAGUAAACUUAAUAAACCAGAACUACCGUACCCUAAACCGACUCAGGUUCGUAAGUAGAGAAUACUAAGGCGUAGAGCUAAGAGUUGUAAAGGAACUCGGCAAGAUGUCCUCAUAAGUUUGACGACAAGAGGAACCAGAAAAAUUAAUUUCGAUUUAGAGUAGUUAAAACUAUUCUUUAAUAUCGACUUAUUAUUCACCUUAAUUGUAUUAUUUAUACUUUGUUUUUUAUUUUAUUUUUGGAUAAUUAUAAAGUAAUAUUUAUUUUUAUUUUUAAAUAAGUAUCAUAACUUAGAUAGAGAAACAAUUAAAACAAUAAUAAAUAAUCAGCCAUGGUUAUUAAUAUAAUUUGGUGGCACAGAAUCGGAGGCCUCGACUGUUUACUAAAAACACAAGAAUGUGCAAUGAUAUAAGUCAUAGUAUACGUUCUGAAAUUUGCUCGAUGCCAUUAAUAUAAGAAAGGUAAUGGGUAACUGUUACUGAUUGAAAGUCUGGUUAAUAGCGGUCUUAACUAUGAGGAUCCUAAGGUAGCAAAAUAAAUUGGCCAUUAAAUGUGGUCCGGUAUCAAUAAUGUAACGAAGGUCUCACUGUCUCUACAACUUGCUCAGUGAAAUUGAAUUACCCGUGCAGAUGCGGGUUACCCCCAGUGGGACGGGAAGACCCUAUGCAGCUUUACUGUAGUUAGUUAACACGCUGAUCUAGAACAAUUCCUAACAAUAGUAAUUAGGUAAGUCGAUAGACGAUAAUUUGAACUUCAUAAUUAACACUUAUCUUAAACUCAAUAGCUUUCUAAUAUUAAUCUGUAAUUUAAUUAUUAAAGAUAAUAUUAACGAUUGUUGAGGAGUGGAUAUUUGAAGAUUGAAGGAAUGAUUGUUUGGAAACCUCCGGAUUGGAAUUGGGUCAGGGUUUACCUUUGUAUUUUACUAAUAUUUAAUAUUACAAAAUUAGGGAUAAUUGACUAAUUGGCAGUUUGACUGGGGCGGUCGUCUUUAAUAAAGUAGCAAAGUACAUCCAUAGAUUUAAAUUUAACAAUUAUUACAAUAUUAUUAUUUUUUAAUAAUGUUGCAUACUAAAAAGAUUAUUAGAUGGUAUAAAUUCAUUUUAUUUUUUAUUUAUUAUUUUUUAAUUUAUAAAUUAUAAUUCUGUUUUAUAUUAUAUAAUCUAUUAUAUAAAUAACAUAACUUAAUAAGUUAAUACAUCAAUUAUGAUUUUUUACAUAAAAAUUCUUUUUUUUUUAAGGUAUAGCUAGAAAUCGAAUGGAGAUCAAUCAACCAGUGUAAAGGUUGUGCAUAGUGUAAUGGCGGAAAGCAUACCUAACUGAAAGACCUAAAAGUCGACCAGAUACGUAAGUAGGGCAUAGUGACCCCUCGCUAUAAUAUGGAAUAGACGGGGAUCAUUUGAUAAAAGUUACGCUAGGGAUAACAGGCUGAUAGCCGGUGAGAGUACACAUUGUCCCGGCUGUUUGGCACCUCGAUGUCGAUUCAUCCUAUCCUCCGGGGGUAGAUUCUUGGAAGGGUUGGGCUGUUCGCCCAUUAAAAGGGUACGUGAAUUGGGUUUAAUACGACGUGAGUCAGUAUGGUCCCUAUCUUCUGGGGGGACAAUUAGUAAAAAGGGGAAGACCUUCUAGUACGAAAGGAUCAAUAGGCUGUGUUUCUAUAGUGUACCAAUUGUUGAAACUGAAUAUUAUAUAUAAACUAAGAAACCUUCUUUAAUUUUUAGUUUAGUCCUUAUUCAUUUGCGUAACCCGUAGAUAAAUUUGUGAUUUAUUUAUUUUUUAAUAAAUUAUUAUAUUAUAUUUGGUGUGGUAAUGAUUAUAAUAAUUAUUUUUAUAUUUAUUUAAUUAAUAAGACUAACAUUGUUUU